GCUGAGCCGGGCUCAGCUCCUGGGCUGGGAACUCUGCACAGCUCCACUGAGGGGUUACCCCCAGUUUCAGCUUUUUGUCAGAGGCU